rnacentral:lncRNA from 1 species
UUGGGCCCGUGCUGGCACGGGCCAUGCCCAUCUAGUAUAAGAGGAGGGAAAGUGAGAAGAAGAAAAAAAGAAUAUUUGGUGAGAUUUUUGUAUGUUAUCACUAUUCCACUUGUUGACUCGCAGGUAUAUGAAUGUGAGUGAAUGGUACGAAUUUUAAAACUUGUGAUCUAAAAUGAAUAAUAGAAAUUUGUGUGGUUAUAAAAUAUUUUAUUAAGGG